rnacentral:rRNA from 1 species
UACGUAGGGUGCGAGCGUUAAUCGGAUUUACUGGGCGUAAAGCGUGCGCAGGCGGCCCGUUAAGACAGGUGUGAAAUCCCUGGGCUCAACCUAGGAAUUGCGCUUGUGACUGGCGGGCUCGAGUACGGUAGAGGGGGGUGGAAUUCCUGGUGUAGCAGUGAAAUGCGUAGAGAUCAGGAGGAGCACCGAUGGCGAAGGCAGCCCCCUGGGCCUGUACUGACGCUCAUGCACGAAAGCGUGGGGAGCAAACAGG